rnacentral:rRNA from 1 species
UGGUGGAGUGAUUUGUCUGCUUAAUUGCGAUAACGAACGAGACCUUAACCUGCUAAGUAGCCAGGCUAGCUUUGGCUGGUCGCCGGCUUCUUAGAGGGACUAUCGGCUCAAGCCGAUGGAAGUUUGAGGCAAUAACA